GGUUGCGAUUAUACCAUCACUAAUGCACCGGAUCCCAUCAGAACUCCGCAGUUAAGCGUGCUUGGGCGAGAGUAGUACUAGGAUGGGUGACCCCCUGGGAAGUCCUCGUGUUGCAACCC
rnacentral:rRNA from 1 species